UCACUGGUGGUCCAGUGGUUAAGACUCCACACUCCCAAAGCAGGAAGCCUGGGUUCAAUCCCUAGUCAGGGAA
rnacentral:tRNA from 1 species